AGUGACUUAGGUUAACUAGACCAAGAGCCUUCAAAGCCCUAAGCGGAAGUGAAAGUCCUCCAGUUACUG
rnacentral:tRNA from 1 species